rnacentral:rRNA from 1 species
UGCAGCGACGCCGCGUGGGUGAAGGAGCACUUCGGUGCGUAAAGCCCUAUCGGCAGGGAAGAAAAGGGGGAAACCCCAGACGGUACCUGACUAAGAAGCCCCGGCUAACUACGUGCC